rnacentral:rRNA from 1 species
CACGUAGGGCGCAAGCGUUGUCCGGAAUUAUUGGGCGUAAAGAGCUCGUAGGCGGUCUGUUGCGUCCGCUGUGAAAACUCGGGGCUUAACCCCGAGCCUGCAGUGGAUACGGGCAGACUAGAGGUAGGUAGGGGAGAAUGGAAUUCCCGGUGUAGCGGUGAAAUGCGCAGAUAUCGGGAGGAACACCGGUGGCGAAGGCGGCCUGCUGGGCAGUAGCUGACGCUGAGGCGCGACAGCGUGGGGGAGCAAACAGG